CUUAAAAGGUCUUAAAACUGUUUAUUCUACCAAUAAAUAAAGGUUUUUUUAUUGACUGGGAUUUCAAUAACUGGGACUGGGAUUUCUAAUAAAAAUCCAACUGGGACUGGGAUUUUGCCAAAAUUUCAGGUGGGAAAUGCAAGGGAUUUCUGGUGUCGUCGAGGGACACAUGAUUGAUAUCGGCAAUCCGGUCAUGCUUCAAAGACUGGGCGUCAAAUUAACUCCGGAGUUUGAAUCUGAGUAUGAUAAGCUCUGUGCUGAGAGCAAGACGGUCGUUUUUGUGUGUGUCGAUGAGGAAUUGGCAAUGAUGAUCUCAUUGGCUGAUAUUAUACGCGACGA